rnacentral:rRNA from 1 species
GUGGGGAAUAUUGGGCAAUGGGCGAAAGCCUGACCCAGCAACGCCGCGUGAAGGAAGAAGGUCUUCGGAUCGUAAACUUCUAUCCUUGGUGAAGAUAAUGACGGUAGCCGAGAAGGAAGCCCCGGCUAACUACGUGCCAGCAGCCGCGGUAAUACGUAGGGGGCAAGCGUUGUCCGGAAUGAUUGGGCGUAAAGGGCGCGUAGGCGGCCUGGUAAGUCUGGAGUGAAAGUCCUGCUUUUAAGGUGGGAAUUGCUUUGGAUACUGUCGGGCUUGAGUGCAGGAGAGGUAAGUGGAAUUCCCGGUGUAGCGGUGAAAUGCGUAGAGAUCGGGAGGAACACCAGUGGCGAAGGCGACUUACUGGACUGUAACUGACGCUGAGGUGCGAAAGCGUGGGGAGCAAACAGGAUUAGAUACCCGUGUAGUCC